rnacentral:rRNA from 1 species
AGAGUUUGAUCCUGGCUCAGAGUGAACGCUGGCGGCAGGCCUAACACAUGCAAGUCGAGCGCUGAUUUCAGGGUAGCAAUAUUCUGAGGUCGGAGCGGCGCAAGGGUGCGUAACACGUGGGUAAUCUGCCAUGAAGUUCGGGAUAACUUGCUGAAAGGCGAGCUAAUACCGGAUGUGACAGCCGAGAGACAUCUCCUGGUUGUUAAAGUUGGGGACCGUAAGGCCUGACGCUUCUUGAUGAACCCGCGGCCUAUCAGCUAGUUGGUGAGGUAACGGCUCACCAAGGCUAAGACGGGUAGCUGGUCUGAGAGGACGACCAGCCACACUGGAACUGAGACACGGUCCAGACACCUACGGGUGGCAGCAGUCGAGAAUUUUUCACAAUGGGCGCAAGCCUGAUGGAGCGACGCCGCGUGGGGGAUGAAUGGCUUCGGCCCGUAAACCCCUGUCAUUUGCGAUCAAACGUUAUUAUUUAAAAGAUGAUGACCUGAUAGUAGUGAAAGAGGAAGGGACGGCUAACUCUGUGCCAGCAGCCGCGGUAAUAC